CCCUUAGAUGUUCUGGGCCGCACGCGUGCUACGCUGAGUGGAUCAGCGGGUCAGGUUGCGCGAAAGUGUUUCCUAAUCUUGAAAUCCGCUCGUGAUGGGGAUUGACGGUUGCAAUUUUCCGUCAUGAACGAGGAAUACCUUGUAAGCGCGGGUCAUCAUCCCGCGCUGAAUACGUCCCUGCCCUUUGUACACACCGCCCGUCGCUCCUACCGAUUGAGUGGUCCGGUGAGGCUUUGGGAUCUGAGCAAAGAGAGCGUUUCGCUCGUUUUGCCCGGAAAACUCAGUCGAACCUUAUCAUUUAGAGGAAGGAGAAGUCGUAACA
rnacentral:rRNA from 1 species